UACGUAGGGGGCGAGCGUUGUCCGGAUUUAUUGGGCGUAAAGAGCUCGUAGGCGGUUUGGUAAGUCGGGUGUGAAAUCUCCACGCUCAACGUGGAGGGGCCACUCGAUACUGCCAUGACUCGAGUCCGGUAGAGGAGUGUGGAAUUCCCGGUGUAGCGGUGAAAUGCGCAGAUAUCAGGAGGAACACCGGUGGCGAAGGCGGGUCUCUGGGCCGUAACUGACGCUGAGGAGCGAAAGCAUGGGGAGCGAACAGG
rnacentral:rRNA from 1 species